rnacentral:lncRNA from 10 species
UUGGUCUACACGCUUUGUAAUCUAAAACAUUCUCUACCAAUACCUCAAUCAGUGAAUUCUUGCUUUAUUGAUACAUUCUAGUAUUCAGUUGUGAUUUUAAUAUGCUAUUUUGGUACUUUCUGCUUUCAGUUUUCAUUGCUGUGGCUAUUGCCUUAAACAGAAACAAAAAACUAAAACAAUUUUACAACCAUCCAAAAGAGGCUUGGAAACUUUUUUUUGGCUGGAUAUCCAUAGCACAAUUUAAUUCAGUAAACAUAAACAGUUAAAAUUAUUCCAGUACACAACCAUGUUUUAAAAAAGAGAUUACACCCAAUUUUGGCAACAACACCCAGGAAAUAAGCAUUCUUUUACAUUUGGUUCAAACUUUCUGAAUGGCAGUUGUGCAACACUUGUUGUGAAAAACUUUAGAAUAUUAUAAACAUGUUAAUCCUGUAUUUCCAUUUCUGUGAAUUCAUCCAAAAGAAAUAACCAUGGAUAUGGGUAGAGACAGAGCCAUAUGGAAUGCACACUGCAGUGGUGAACACAUGGCCCAGCUCUGCCAUCAAGGAGAAGCACUCUUUAUAAUAACAAAGACAUGGAAUCAACCUAAAUGCUCAUCAACAGUAGACUGGAUAAAGAAAAUGUGGUUCAUAUACACCAUGGAAUACUAUGCAGCCAUAAAAAAGAAUGAGAUUAUUUCCUUUGCAGGAACAUGAAUGGAGCUGGAGGCCAUCAUCCUUAGUGAACUAACACAGGAGCAGAAAACCAAAUACCACAUGUUCUCAUGUGUAAGUGGGAGCUAAAUGAUGAGAACACAUGGACACAAAGAGGGGAACAACAGACACUGAAGCCUCCUUGAGGGAGGAGGGUAAGAGGAAGGAGAAGAUCAGAAAAGAUAACUACCAGGUACUAUGGUAGCUUAGUACCUGGGUGAUGAAAUAAUCUGUACACCCAACCCUCAUGACAGAAGUUUACCUGUGUAACAAACCUGCACAUGUAUCCCUGAAACUAAAAGUUUUUUAAAAAGUUAUUUAAUAUAUAUAUAUUUUUUUGAGACGGAGUUUUGCUCUUGUUGCCCAGGCUGGAGUGCGGUGGCGCAAUUUCGGCUCACCACAACCUCCGCCUCCCAGGUUCAAGCUAUUCCCCUGCCUCAGCCUCCCUAGUAGCUGGGAUUACAGGCUUGUGCCACCACGCCGGCUAAUUUUGUAUUUUUUGUAGAGACGGGGUUUCUCCAUGUUGGUCAGGCUGGUCUCGAACUCCCGACCUCAGGUGAUCCACCCCCCUCGGCCUCCCAAAGUGCUAGGAUUACAGGCAUGAGCCACUGCGCCCGGCAAAAAGUUAUUUAAUAUUAAUGGGACAAUACUCAUUGCAAGAAUCAGACUUCAAUUGCUAGCAUAAGUAAAUGACAGGCAGGAGAUAUUGAAAAUGCAAUCUUAUAGACAUUCAAGGAGAGGACGCAGGACAUUUCUGUGUCAUAAAUGUACUAUGGAAAAUAAAAAUGAGAAAAAUGGAAAUAAAAUACAAGAAAAGGUUAUGAUAAAUUUCAUAUUAUUUUACCACAAUAAAAAAAUUUUAAUAAAUUAUAAAUGGUGUGAUAUGUUUUGCCUGUGUUCCACCCAAAUCUCAUCUUGAAUUAGAGCUCCCACAAUUCCCACGUGUUGUGGCUGGGACCCUGUGGGAGAUAAUUGAAUCAUGGGGGCAGUUUACCCCAUACUGUUCUCUUGGUGGUGAAUAAGUCUCAUGAGAGUUGAUGGUUUGAUAAGGGGUUUCCCCUUUUGCUUGGCUCUCAUUCUCUCUUGACUGCCACCAUGUAAGAUGUGCCUUUUGCCUUCCACCAUGAUUGUGAAGCCUCCCAGCCACAUGGAACUGUGAGUC